CCUACGGGGGGCAGCAGUCGCGAAAACUUCACAAUGGGGGAAACCCCGAUGAGGGAAUUCCAAGUGCCAGCACAUUGUGUUGGCUGUUCUCUGGUCUAAAAAACCGGAGAAGUAAGGGCCGGGUAAGACGGGUGCCAGCCGCCGCGGUAAUACCCGCGGCCCAAGUGGUGGUCGAUAUUAUUGAGCCUAAAACGUCCGUAGCCGGUCUUGUAAAUCCUUGGGUAAAUCGACCAGCUCAACUGUUCGAAGUCCGGGGAGACUGCAAGACUUGGGAUCGGGAGAGGUGAGAGGUACUUCUGGGGUAGGGGUAAAAUCCUGUAAUCCUAGAAGGACCACCGGUGGCGAAGGCGUCUCACUAGAACGAAUCCGACGGUGAGGGACGAAGCCCUGGGGCGCAAACGGGAUUAGAUACCCCCGUAGUCC
rnacentral:rRNA from 1 species